CACCUUCAAAAUCCACCUCCAAAGUCACCUAUCACCCGAAAACCAGCACAACGCGUAAGCAGGCCUGUGCCUGCCACAUCAAUCACAAUGUGGUGAAUUUCCUAAUGAUAAUUUGAUUGAUCGUCUAGAAAACUCGAGUGUCACUGUUCUAUAACAGUAAAAUGGCAAAAAUGCUCUCCAAAUUUUUAUCUGGCUGUGCUUUAUUUCAGCUUUUCUAUAGUGAAAAUGUGGUUAUGCCCUUCCACUCCACCUGUCGACCAUCGCUGCGUCUUCUAGUUUCUUCCCUUUGCUUUUCACUCUUUUUGCUUAUGUUGCUUUUCACUCCUUCUCCACUAAUUUCCGUUCGAUUGUUUUGCGUUUUGUGCUUUGGUGAGAUAUUUUAUUAGUCUAUGUUAUGUGUUCUGAUCAAGGAUUGAAUUGGGUUUCUUAGUUAAAGCGAAACUGGACUCUUCCUUUUGCUUCCAAUACGUUCUUCCAACCCACCCCCAAUUCUCUCUCGACAGUUUUUCUUGGAAGCACAACGUGAAUCCUGUCCCGGUUCUCUCGAUUCAAAAAAAUUCUUCAACUGGCUUUGAUUUCAAGCUGUCAUCUUUGCAUACAACUUCCUUGCUGCUGCGUUGGGGGCGACGAUCUGAAGUGAAAGGCCUCAAAUUUACAGCUAAUACAAAUAUCAUGUAUUGCUUAUCGCAUUUUAUCUUCAAGCUUAAUCCAUCACUUGAUAUGCAGUACUAAUUCAGUUGUUCAUCAAUUUGUUUCACUUUUAGGUUUUAUUAUGGUAAGUAAUUCCUCUAUUUCGAGUAUCAUGUAUAUGUUCUUGAUUUCCACUGAAUGCAUAUAUUUGUGUUAAAGUAUUGAUUUUCGGUUUUUUACAGUUUCGUAAUGCAUUCUUUUGUCAUGUCAUUAAUGAUCACAUGUUUGCUAAGCAUGAUCAUGUGCAAUAAAAUGCAUCUGGUGACUUCAUUAAUCCUCUAUCCAAUAUUUGUAUUAGUUGAUUGAGAAUUAGAGUUACGCGAUUUCCCAAUAAUGCAUCGAAUUGAAGGUUUUUUUUUGAAAUUUUUUCGUUUUCUGUCAUGAUAGUUGCAAUAAGCUUGGAUUGUAUUGUUGCUAAAUACUAUGAUAUGCAAGAUGGGGAACUUCGAUUAAUAUGCUAAAUUCUUAAAAUUGGGACGUCUAGAUGUUUAUAGACGGUUCUUCCAACAUCAUUAACUGUAUCAAUUCUGCACCAAGUCCCAGAAGGUCGUGUUGGGGUAUAUUGGAGAGGAUGCACUCUUCUGAGGACAAUUACAAGGGGACAGGCGUCAGUUACUAUGAAUACUCGGGUUCGAACUUUUUUGAGCCCAAUCACCAAAACGUGGGACAUAAACUCUCUCAUACCCUUCAUUUUCAAGGAGAAGCUGAAAGUUGUUACGGGUACUAAUAUUGGCGAUGUUACAGGAAAGGAUCGCCUCAUCUGGACAGAGACUAAGACUGGCGUUUAGACGGUGAAAUCCGAGUACCUUUCAAUGCAGGCUAGUGUUUGCCCUCCUCUGCCUUCUCGUCCCUUCAUGUCCCGUGCCACUCCAAAUCGUGUGUGGAAGAUUAUUUGGCAAUUGCAAACCCCUGCAAAAAUCAAGAAUUUUCUAUGGAAGACUUUCCACUGCCCUCUUGCCACGAUGGAGGACCUGUUUAAGCGUUAAUCUGCCCCUAACCUGAUGUGCACGAUAUGCCAUCUUCAGAAAGAGUCAAUUGAACACCUUUUUUUAUUUUGCCAAUCGGUAAAACCCAUCUGGUUUGGUGGGAUACUAAAUUACAAGAUUGAUAGAAGUGGGGUAUCUAGUUGGAUAAAAAGUGGUUGACUCGGUGGCUUACAGUCAAUUGGGGGACAGUGGGGACCAGUUGCACGUGCUUUCAUAUGUUGCCUUCACAUGUUGGCAUAUAUGGAAGGCUCAUUGCAAUCUCUUGUUUAAUUGGUGACCAAUCGACCCCACCCAAGUGGUUUGUGCCAUUAAUAACUCGGCAGGUGCUUUCAGUGCAGCUGUAUGUGAUGUAUCCACUCCCGUCUCCUGUCCCUCCGGAGGAUGAUCGAUUGCCCAGGUGGUUCCCUCUACCACAAUGUAUACAAAAAUAAAUGUUGAUGCUAGUUGGUCGAUGCAGACGCGUUCUGGCUUCGCUGGAAUUGUUGUGCAGGAUGACAAAGGCUCUUUUGUGGUUGCAAUCAGGUACGCUAUUCGAGCCCCUUGUGUUGGUGUGGCAAAAGCAAUGGUUAUCCUCAAAGGGUGUGAAUUUGGUCUUUGGUUGGGGCUUAGUAAGGUGGUUGUGGAGUUUGAUUCCCAAGAGUCUAUCUCCUCUCUGGUGGACUCGCUCGACAAGGGUAGAUGGGAAGCUUUCCCUUACUUAGUGAAAGCUAAAAGACUAGGGGAUUCUUUCCAGGAUUAUUGCUAGUCUUGGAUCCCAAGACUAGCCAAUUUGGCAACAAAUGCUUUGGCGUCGCAGAGAUGCUUAGAGAUGUGUGAUGUUACUUGGGUUAACAGACCCCCAUCUUCACUUGUUCAUGUCCUUCACAAUGACGGAUUACCUUGCCCUGCUUAGGGCUCGGGGGGCUUUGCUGAGGGCGACACGCUAACUUGGUUACCGCGUCUCCUUUGUAACUCUCACCAUUGCCCUUUGUCUAUUUCUUUGUUUCAUGUUUGCUUGCCUCGUUGUAGGCUUUGUAUGUUUCAUCUGGUAUCUUUGCCCGGUUUUAAUCUACCAGUUUUCAAAUAAAAAAAAAAAAAAAAAAGCCAUUUUAAAUUACUAAUAUGACUAUCGUCUAAGAAAGAAAAUCUUUCAAGUUACUACUAUC